rnacentral:rRNA from 1 species
CCUACGGGUGGCUGCAGUGGGGAAUAUUGGGCAAUGGACGCAAGUCUGACCCAGCAACGCCGCGUGAAGGAAGAAGGCUUUCGGGUUGUAAACUUCUUUUAAGGGGGAAGAGCAGAAGACGGUACCCCUUGAAUAAGCCACGGCUAACUACGUGCCAGCAGCCGCGGUAAUACGUAGGUGGCAAGCGUUGUCCGGAUUUACUGGGUGUAAAGGGCGUGCAGCCGGUGGGGCAAGUCAGAUGUGAAAUCCGCGGGCCUAAAUCGCGAACUGCAUUUGAAACUGCUUACCUUGAGUAUUGGAGCGGUAAACGGAAUUCCUAGUGUAGCGGUGAAAUGCGUAGAUAUUAGGAAGAACACCAGUGGCGAAGGCGGAUUACUGGACGACAACUGACGGUGAGGCGCGAAAGCGUGGGGAGCAAACAGGAUUAGAUACCCGAGUAGUC